GGGUGCAAUCAUACCAGCAUUAAUGCACUGGAUCCCAUUGGAACUCUGUAGUUAAGCCCUCUUGGGGUAGAGUAGUACUGGGAUGGGUGACCUCCCGAGAAGUCCUAGUGUUGCACCCU
rnacentral:rRNA from 1 species